CACACACACACACACACACACACACACACACACACACACACGCUAUGCAGGUACUUGCUAUUGAGCCACAUCCCAGCCUCUAGUUGCUGUUUAGUGCCUGGUUUAUAGUCACAGCAGCACAAUGUGAAACCAUUUGUGAUGAUUUGUAUAUGCUUGGCCCAGGAAGAAGCACUAUUUGGAGGUGUGGCCUUGUUGGAGUAGGUGGACUUUUUAAGCAUGGACUUUGUUUAAGCAUGCUUUGUUUAAGCAUGGACCCUUCUCCUAGCUGUCUAGAAUCGAGUCUUCCACUACCAGUCUUCAGAUGAAGAUGUAGAACUCUCAGCUCUGCCUGCAUCAUGCCUGCCUGGAUGCUGCCAUGUUCCUGCCAUGAUGAUAAUGGACUGAACCUCUGAACCAGUCAGAAGCAUCCUACCUCUCACUCUCAUCAGCAGCCUUCUCUGCCUCUUCCAGAUUCUGCAGGGCUGUGGCCAGCUGCUCCUGAGCCCGGUCCAGUUCCUCCUCCAGCAGUUGGAUGCGGCGGUUGAGAGCGGCUGCAUCUCCUUCAGCCUGGAAAGUCAGAUAUACACCUUAUAUCUGGGUGAUUAAGAAGAGUCAAGCUGGCAAGCAGUGUCUCCCCACGCCCCAUCCCCUCAGUGACCCUGAUAUCCAGCCACAACCCACCUAGGGACCCAGGCUCAAGGGAAUUCAUACUCAUUUGAAUUUAAAUUUGAUUUUAAAAAUUAUGGAUCUGUGACGCAGGGUCUUGUGCAUUAGCCAGACUGGUCUCCAACUCCUGGUCUUAGGAAUCCUCUUGCCUCAGACUCCCUGGCAAGCCACAGUGCCCAGCCCCUCUGGAGAACACACACCUCAACAACUGAGCAAACUUGUCAGCCCUGAUAUUGUUUUGUCUUCAAGUCACCCACCUUACAGGUGGAAACAAGGAGGUCCCACCAGUGCAGUGGUAUUGUAUAGUGACUUAGGGCUCUGUCACCAAGGGGUGACUUCCCUCUGUCAUCCAGGGAUGGCCGCCCUCAAGGAAGAGCAUGGAAAGUUAGUCACAUGAGACUCAAUUAGCAGCUCCAGGAGACUGAAGCCAAAGGACAAAGAGUUUUAGGUUAGCCUGAACUAUUAUAUAGCAAGAUCUCUGUUAAAAUACCAGAAAAAGGGGGAGCUGGCUUAGUGGGUAAAAUCACUUGCUGCCCAGCAUAAGGACCUGAGUUUAGAUUCUCAAACAGUGUGUGGGUUCAUGAGGUUCAUGAGGAAAUGCAGAGGAAGCCAUGCUACCUACCGGCUUCCUUUCAGGGAUAACCACUACAUGGGGACAGCUAUAAAACUCAGUGUGAGUCUGGGCCCUCUCUACCUCAGUUUACACAGCAGGGAAAGUAUAAAGAACAAGGCCAGGUUGCCUGUCAAUAUACAGAGGAUCCCCCUUGCCCCCCAGUUUGUGAUCUGUGACCACCCUCCCCCAACACCAAUAUGUGUCUGUGCGUCUCAGGUCUCUCUUCCCACAAUGUGGGUCCUGGGGACUGAACUCAGAUCAUCAGCCUUAGUGGCAAGCACCUCUACCCAGCUGAACCAUCUCAGGGGCCCAUGGGUGCCUCUUUUUUAUAUCUUGAACUUCAAUACCUAUCAUAUGCAACAAGUGGGGCAGUAUUGGUUCCCGCCCACUUCAGUUUUUAGUAUAUUUAGCAAAAGUUAUGUAACCAGGACCACUAUCUAAUUUGUUAACUUUUGCCAUUUGCUAAAAAGAACCUUGUGCCCAUCUG
rnacentral:lncRNA from 1 species